rnacentral:rRNA from 1 species
GCUUGUCUCAAAGAUUAAGCCAUGCAUGUCUAAGUAUAAACUAUUUUAUACUGUGAAACUGCGAAUGGCUCAUUAAAUCAGUUAUAGUUUAUUUGAUGGUACCUUACUACUCGGAUAACCGUGGUAAAUCUAUGGCUAAUACAUGCGCAAAGGCCCGACCCUGAAGGGCUGUAUUUAUUAGAUCUAACCAUCAUUUGGUGAAUCAUAGUAACUGAUCGGACCGUGCGUUAGCGCGGUAAAUCGUUCAAGUUUCUGCCCUAUCAGCUUUCGAUGGUAGUGUAUUGGACUACCAUGGCAGUCACGGGUAACGGAGAAUUAGGGUUCGGUUCCGGAGAGGGAGCCUGAGAAACGGCUACCACAUCUAAGGAAGGCAGCAGG